UUUUUAUCUUGAUCUAUUGCCGAGGCUGAGAUUGGUUGAUCCUUUUGGAUCUUGGUUGCCUUCUAUUCGAUAUAUUGUUGCCUUCUUGUGGGAUUCGGAAAAAGGUAUUUUAUACCUUAUAUUGUACCUAUUUUUCGGGACGGAUUUAUAGUGGAAUUGCUCUUCCUCCCCGUGGAUGUAGGCCUUUUGUGCCAAACCACGUAAAUCUUGAUUCUUUGUCUUUGUUUAUUUAUGCCUGCAAUGUGUUUGGUGAAUUGUCUCAAAGAAAUUAGAUAUUAGAUCACAAGCCCAGAUCGAUCCAAUCCGGUGCGCG
rnacentral:lncRNA from 1 species